UGUAUGUUAUAAGGAUUUGCGUAUUGCUUUUGAAUUAUUAUCGCAAUAAUGCGAACAUUUAGUGAAUGCAUUUAUCUUUCAGAUACGUUGUUGUUCUGCAUUUCCAUUUGCAGCAUAACUCGUAUUGAAUAACUGAUCGCAGUACACCACAUUUGGUAUUUCUGUUGACGUGACCAAAAUACCUCAGCAAUCUUUACCUUAUACCGUAGAUUUAUUAGUUUCCUUUUACACUUCAUGGAAACAAGGUGCACAUCACUAAAGCUGUCAAUGCACGCAAUACAUAAGUGCAAUUUUUCAAACUAUAGAAAUAUUUUGAAUCGACGCGAAUAGCGAUUAUUCAAAGCAGGAUAACGAAGCAAAAAAGAAACGGAUCUCUGCGAGAGGCGUUUUCUUCGCUGGUGGAAAAUUGAAAAUUUGCAACUUCCGUUCGGGGUGAAAAAAGGGGGACGAAUGAAAUAAAACAUUGCUCGUUCAUGUAUGUAUGUAUAUUGUUUUGUUUAGUGGUAGUACAUUACUUUUAUUAUUUCUCAUAGGUACACUUUCUACAAAAUGCGGAAAUCCCCCCCGAGGAGCAGAAGAAAUAAAAAUAAUAAUAAUUCUGAGAAUCAACAAAAAAAA